rnacentral:sRNA from 1 species
GGGGAUGUUCCGGAAUUCGACUUUGGGUUGUAAAUUAUGCUUGCAUGCCGGAGACGACACUUGGCUCCGUAAAAAUGUGUCACACAAAACAAUAAAUGGCGAAGAAUACGCUAUCGCUGCUUAAUUAAGCGGCGCGUCGGCUCUCAGACUCCCGAUAUGGGAAGCCCGGCGUCGACAUCGGGAACAGGGGCAGCGCUUGAACCGUCGGGGGCGAUGCCGCCACAAACCGGCGGGUGCCGAAGCGAAGGAAGUCUCGACCUAAGCGCUUCGAAAGAUUAACCGAUGACUAAGCAUGUAGAAGGUAUGGUUGAAAACGCUCAGGACGCGGGUUCGACUCCCGCCAUCUCCACCA